rnacentral:rRNA from 1 species
AGAGUUUGAUCAUGGCUCAGAUUGAACGCUGGCGGCAUGCCUUACACAUGCAAGUCGAACGGCAGCGCGGGGCAACCUGGCGGCGAGUGGCGAACGGGUGAGUAAUAUAUCGGAACGUACCCUGGAGUGGGGGAUAACGUAGCGAAAGUUACGCUAAUACCGCAUACGAUCUAUGGAUGAAAGUGGGGGAUUCGCAAGAACCUCAUGCUCCUGGAGCGGCCGAUAUCUGAUUAGCUAGUUGGUAGGGUAAAAGCCUACCAAGGCAUCGAUCAGUAGCUGGUCUGAGAGGACGACCAGCCACACUGGAACUGAGACACGGUCCAGACUCCUACGGGAGGCAGCAGUGGGGAAUUUUGGACAAUGGGCGCAAGCCUGAUCCAGCAAUGCCGCGUGAGUGAAGAAGGCCUUCGGGUUGUAAAGCUCUUUUGUCAGGGAAGAAACGGACUUUUCUAAUACAGAGGUCUAAUGACGGUACCUGAAGAAUAAGCACCGGCUAACUACGUGCCAGCAGCCGCGGUAAUACGUAGGGUGCAAGCGUUAAUCGGAAUUACUGGGCGUAAAGCGUGCGCAGGCGGUUUUGUAAGACUGUCGUGAAAUCCCCGGGCUCAACCUGGGAAUGGCGAUGGUGACUGCAAGGCUAGAGUUUGGCAGAGGGGGGUAGAAUUCCACGUGUAGCAGUGAAAUGCGUAGAUAUGUGGAGGAACACCGAUGGCGAAGGCAGCCCCCUGGGUCAAAACUGACGCUCAUGCACGAAAGCGUGGGGAGCAAACAGGAUUAGAUACCCUGGUAGUCC